AAAAUGAAACUAAGCCACAACGCCAAGAGCUAGGGUUUCAGAGUCUUGAUUAAUUUGGUGAUCAAACCCUAGAUCAUGAAUUAAUUUGUGAUCAGGAAGAUGGGUUUGCCAAGAAACUUAGUGAAAUGACUGUUGAGGGUUUACGCGAUGAAGAUGAGGGUUCUGAGUUGGUGCUUGCUAUCGAAACAAAGAGGAUUUUGAUAAAGUUGGGGGCUUUGGGGAAGGAAUUCGUGGUGAGAAUGAUCAAGGUGGUUUGGGGCUAUUUAGAGAUGGUGAUGAGUUUAGGAGUAAGUUGUGUGAUGAGAAUGAGAAUCGAGUCGGUUAUCGUGAUUGGAAAGGUUUUAUUAAUCAUGAGGCGAAAUUCGAAGAGAGAAAAAUUGAAAAGUUAGGCGGUGUGGAAGGAAAUGAAGGCGAUUAUAAGGAAAUGAAGGAAGGGGGUAAAGAUAAGGAUGGGAGUAAGUGGAGUGAGAUUGAGAAUGAAGGCGGUGAUGGUGAAUUGGAGGGUAUUAAAAAUGAGGCGGAAAUUAAAGAGAGAAACCCCGAAAAGCGUUUUGUGGUGGAAGGAAAUGAAGGAGACUUUAAAGAGAUGAAGGAACGGGAGGAUAACAAGGGGAGUAAGUGAGGUGAGAUUGAGAAUGUAGACGGUGAUCUUGAUUUGGAGGGCAUUAAAGAUGAGGCGGAAAUUGAAGAGAGAAACCUUGAAAAGAAGGGAAAAAAGGUGCUUUUAAGGAUAUAAAGGACGGGGAUAAUGAUGAGGGAAGUAAUAGGAGUGAGUUUGGGAAUGAAGGCAGUGAUUGUGAUUUGAAGGGUAUUGAAGACAAAAUGGCAAUCGAAGAGAGAAACCCUGAAAAUCGUAGUGUUGUGGAAGGAAAUGAGAUUGGGAAUGAAGGCAGUGAUUGUGAUUUGAAGGGAAAACAAGUCAUUGAGGACUAUGAAGAUGGUUGGGGUGUGAAUUGGGAUGAUGUCUUUGAGGACUAUGAAGAUGGUUGGGGUGUGAAUCGGGAUGAUGUCAUUGAGGACUAUAAUUAUGGUUGGGGUUAGAAUUGGGAUUAUGUCAUUGAGGUUUCUGAAGAUGGUUUGGGUGAGAAUUGGGAUGAUGGUGGUGUAAGAGCUAAAGCUAAUUAAUCAUCCACUUGAGAGGAAAAACCAGGCUGCUAGGGGUACAUUUAAUUAAGCAAAAGGAGGAAUUUUAUGAUAAUGCGAACUUUUUGCAGGCUGCAAGGGAUACAUUCAAGCGAAAGGAGGAAACUUAUGAUAAGCCCUGACAAACAGAAUGCAAGUAUUACUUGUUACCAGGUGGUUGAAAAAAAGGAAAAGCUUGUAUGUAUAGUCAUGACAAAGGAAAAGUUGCGGUGACCCCAAAUUUAGAGUUGAACUUUAUUUGGUUUGCCGAUUAGAGUGGGGGAGAAAGAAUGUUCUUUCUUCAUGAAAACCAGUUGAUGCAAGUAUGGGGAAUACUGCAAGUUUCAUCAUCCAGAUUCUACAGCAGCGGGAGGAGGUUACACUACUUCACCGGGUAGAGGUAGGUCAACAGCAAGUGAUACAAAUGAGAGUGCUCCCUUCAGACCAGUUAUCUUUCUGCCAGAAAAUGCAGAAUGGAACGGAUAUCAGGCUCCUGCAUAAGGAAGAUCACAAGGGAUGCUGCCUGUUCCCCCAGCACUUGCGAUGACUAUUCUAGCAACUAGAUCCAGCUUUGAUGCACAUCCACAGGGCCAGGUGAAUGUAAACAAAUAUCCUGAACGACCUGGACAGCCCGAGUUCAGUUUCUACAUGAGAACGGGGGAUUGUAAGUUCAAAUCUUCUUGCAGGUUCCACCAACCCAGAAACCCGGAGUCGGCUCUCAGUGACCAAGGACUGCCUCUGCCACCUGUAAGACUCUCUUUCAAUUAUUCAGCUAGAUCGUGAACAUUAACUUAUUUUAGCUUUAAGAUAGUGUCACGGGCUUGCAUUAGUAAGCAGUAACCAUAUUGCUCCAUAUUCAAAUUUUAGUUCUCUGGUACAACAAAAUUUAUUUUGUCCUGUAAAUGUCUAAGGCCAGAGAAUCUGCUCACACUUCAGCCGUUAUGGGAUUUGUAAGUUUGGUCCUCUCUUUGAGUACGAUCAUUCAGUUGGUGGCACUGCAGCUUCUUUAGAUGGGUCUGCUUAAGUAUCAUACAGUAGUUGCAGACACUUAUAUCAGAGUGAUUACAAAUACUUGAAAACGUUUUGUACUUAACCUUAGGUUGAGGUCUACAAGACUUUGAUGGAUGUUGUGAUGAUUUCGUGGUAUCAAGACUAUGGUUGCGGGAUAAUCUUUAUUACGGUGCCAAAAUAAGUCCAACAUUAAAGAGGAAGCGUAUGGAUUAUCCUGAGCCAACCAAAAGAGACAAGUAUUUUUGAGUGUUAAUGUUCAGCUUCUUAGAAGUCAUGGUUCACGAAGAAUUAACGCGAUGUUUGCUUCAUCAACGCACUUUUGGCACAUCCAGUUUCUGUUUAACUUCUAUAGCAUGCUGAACACAGAAGACAUCCCAUCGAGAGGAUUCCUCAUCAAGGCCGGAUACUGGGGAAACUUCUCUAAGUUCAGUUUCAG